CAGCAGCCGCGGGAAUACGGAGGGUGCAAGCGUUAAUCGGAAUUACUGGGCGUAAAGCGCACGCAGGCGGUUUGUUAAGUCAGAUGUGAAAUCCCCGAGCUUAACUUGGGAAUAGCAUUUGAAACUGGCAAGCUAGAGUCUUGUAGAGGGGGGUAGAAUUCCAGGUGUAGCGGUGAAAUGCGUAGAGAUCUGGAGGAAUACCGGUGGCGAAGGCGGCCCCCUGGACAAAGACUGACGCUCAGGUGCGAAAGCGUGGGGAGCAAACAGGAUUAGAUACCCGGGUAGUCCCUGUCUCUUAUAC
rnacentral:rRNA from 1 species